rnacentral:rRNA from 1 species
CAGCCGCCGCGGGAAUACGAAGGGUGCAAGCGUUACUCGGAAUUACUGGGCGUAAAGCGUGCGUAGGUGGUGGUUUAAGUCCGUUGUGAAAGCCCUGGGCUCAACCUGGGAAUUGCAGUGGAUACUGGGUCACUAGAGUGUGGUAGAGGAUAGUGGAAUUUCCGGUGUAGCAGUGAAAUGCGUAGAGAUCGGAAGGAACAUCUGUGGCGAAGGCGACUAUCUGGGCCAUUACUGACACUGAGGCACGAAAGCGUGGGGAGCAAACAGGAUUAGAUACCCGCGUAGUCCCUGUCUCUUAUAC